ACGGUUAGCUCAGUUGGUUGAGCAUGGUGCUGGUAACACCAAGGUUGCGGGUUCGAUUCCUGUUCCGU
rnacentral:tRNA from 1 species